AGUGGCGCGUGAGUGUGACAUGUGCAGCUGAUGCAGAAUAGCAGGCCUGACACGCUGCCUGUGUCUCCUUCAGAGGAGGGAAAUAAGCAUCCUCACAUGAGCUGCAGGAGGAACGGCCCGACCGGAGAGCUGCAGGGAGGAUUUCCUACAGCAGAAGUCGAUUUUGACAUCCUUAACAUGGCAUGAAAACAUUCAAAUCACCACAGAUCAUUUAUAGAACUCUGUCACCGAGAGACCAAAACCCUCUGCAGGAGUCUGACAGGACUGAACCCCUCAGAUGCUGUUUUACACUCAGUCACUUUAGUUUUAGACUGACCUAAACUUGAAUGUGUAACUUCUCCCCGAACAACAUUCACCGUGACAAAAAAACAAAACAAUCAAAGUUUGUUUCUCCUCGUUUCUUUUCAUUCUCACACUUUCACAACUACUUUCUAACGCCAGAGUAACCUUUCAAAUGUGUUUUCAAAGAUGAUGAUGAUGUGUUACAUGUGCAGAAAUGAUCCAACAACUCCAAUUCACUUCAACAGAACUCUAUGAAAUAAUUGUUCUUGCUGCAGAGUCAUGUCACGUAUAAGUCUCAUGUUUGGAUGAAUUUAUUUAAAUGUGUAAUAAUGUAAAAAGAUAUAUUUAUUUUUUUUCAAACUAAAAUCUGAAACUACUAAAAUGAGUGAUGAGUGAUGCAUAACCUUCAGAAUGAACCUUUGAUCUGAAAUA